rnacentral:rRNA from 1 species
ACUCCUACGGGAGGCAGCAGUGAGGAAUCUUGCGCAAUGGGAAGGCCAUCGACGCAGCGAGCGCCGCGUGGGAGGAUGAAGGUUCUAGGAUCGUAAACUCCUGUUAAGCGGGAAGAAAGCAUUGGCUUAAUACUCCAAUGUCAUGACGGUACCGCUAGAGAAAGCACCGGCUAACUUCGUGCCAGCAGCCGCGGUAAUACGAGGGGUGCAAACGUUAUUCGGAUUUAUUGGGCGUAAAGGGUGCGUAGGUGGUAUUGUAAGUCUGUUGUUAAAUUUUCCGGCCUAACCGGAAGUCAGCGAUGGAUACUGCUUUACUAGAGGAUGGAAGAGAGAAGUGGAAUUCUUGGAGUAGCGGUAAAAUGCGUAGAUCUCAAGAGGAACACCAAUGGCGAAGGCAGCUUCUUGGUCCAAUCCUGACACUGAGGCACGAAAGCGUGGGGA